UUUUUUCAAAAAACACUGUGGAGCCUUCUGGACAAGGGAAUGCAAAGAGGAAGAGCCAAGUGGAGUGCUGGCACACGCGUACCACCCCCGAUUAAAAUUUCCAUUUUUUACACGACCUUUGCACAUGCUGGAAUGCCUGGAAUGAUCUUCCCCACCUGUACUCUCCUGAUCCACUCCUGCCCUGCCUUCAGAUCUCCCUAUUACCCCAGCUUUUUCAGAUGGUCAACCUUCCACAACUUAGAACCUGGAGAGUGCUUCUUCUGGAAACGACCCCUAAGAAAGACUUCUUUGCACUUUGUUGGAAGGGACCGUACCACGUUCUCCUCGCUACCCAGAUGGCAGCCAGACUUCAGGGACUUGAACCUUGGGGUCCAUGUCUCCCAGCGGAAAAGCGCUCCUCCAGACUCCUGGAACUACGUAGCAGCCGGAGAUCUAAAGUCAAAAUUGACCCAGGAGAUUCCUCCCCAGAAGCAGACAACGCCUUGAGGUGGACAGCUCUCCCAGGAUCACGGGUCAAGAUCUCCGUCUCCAAUAUGAAACCUUUAUCCCUUUUGCCUACUUGCUUUUUGCUUUUGCUCCCCAUUAAUGCCUGGGGAGAUAACACUAUAAUUAGGAUUUCACAGUCAAUAGCUACUGCAGAAAACGUAACCAACUGCUGCAUUUGUCACACUAAACCAAAA